AGCUGUUCCCCUCUGGAGGUUUUGACCUUCAAACUUGUCAGGCCGCGGAGACAUCCUGCGGCCUUCUUUUUUGGGACC
rnacentral:misc_RNA from 1 species